CGGGGCGUAGCGCAGCUUGGUUUAGCGCGCCUGCCUUGGGCGCAGGAGGUCGGAGGUUCAAAUCCUCUCGCCCCGACCA
rnacentral:tRNA from 1 species